UACGGGGGGGGCAAGCGUUGUUCGGAAUUACUGGGCGUAAAGGGCGCGUAGGCGGCCUGCUAAGUCGGGUGUGAAAACUCUGGGCUCAACCCAGAGCCUGCAUUCGAUACUGACGGGCUAGAGUUCUGGAGGGGAAAGCGGAAUUCCUGGUGUAGCGGUGAAAUGCGUAGAUAUCAGGAGGAACACCGGUGGCGAAGGCGGCUUUCUGGACAGAAACUGACGCUGAGGCGCGAAAGCUAGGGGAGCAAACAGGAUUAGAUACCCUGGUAGUCCUAGCCCUAAACGAUGGAUACUUGCUGUGAGGGGGAUUGAAUCCCUUCGUGGCGAAGCUAACGCAUUAAGUAUCCCGCCUGGGGAGUACGGUCGCAAGGCUGAA
rnacentral:rRNA from 1 species